UUACUUCCAAUAAGCAGCCGAGAGUGUCUUUUGUUGCAAUAACAGUUACUGCUACAGUAUCCUAGAGCGCCAGGUGGAGUGGUGCUAAUGCAAACGUUAGAUAAAACAAAGUGAGUCCCCUGUACAGGGAGCACCCAGUCAUAUCAUAUAACUUGCUGUGCUUAGACUCAAUUUUUUCUUGUUGCCACGGAAACGACCGGUCUGGCUACUCCGCUUGUCAUUGGUUGGCUGUCAAAAAAAAGCGCUUGACGUAGGGCCUUUUUUUUCAAUUUCAAAAAGACACCCCGAGCUGCAGAGUAAAAGUCGGCGUGGCGUUUAAAAAAAACGCUCAGGACUUUUGAAAACACGGUUUACUCCAUAGGAUCAUAAUGUAAAACAGACGCUGGCAGCUUAA